AGAACAUAGAAAAUCUGAAACAUGUUCAUGAUUCCUGUCUUCCCAGAAAAGAACAGAAUGUGGCAUCACACUGCUGAGGAGAAUAGUAAGACUGGACUAAAUAGUAAGACUGGACUGAAGCUCAUACAAGGACAUCCUGUGCUUUUAGCGUUGUAUUUGUUAUCUAAGGAAACUUGGAGAUUCGACGCCAGAGCCUGAACAAAAGUAGACAAAGAAGACAACAAAGAUAUCCCCUCACAGCCCCAAGCACACUGAGGUGAUGGGAAGUUUGACGAAAACAUGUGGACAACGAAAGAAAAGUGUGCAGAUGGCUGCUUCUUGUUUGGGAAGACACUGUUAGGAGUUUCUCAAGAGGACCAGUAAGGCAAAGGUGAGAACCCAGGGCCUCUAUUAGUGACCCAAGCCAGCAUCUAUUUCGG
rnacentral:lncRNA from 1 species